AGUGAGCGCUGGCGGUAGGCCUAACACAUGCAAGUCGAACGGCAGCACAGUAAGAGCUUGCUCUUACGGGUGGCGAGUGGCGGACGGGUGAGGAAUACAUCGGAAUCUACUUUUUCGUGGGGGAUAACGUGGGGAAACUUACGCUAAUACCGCAUACGACCUACGGGUGAAAGCAGGGGAUCUUCGGACCUUGCGCGAUUGAAUGAGCCGAUGUCGGAUUAGCUAGUUGGCGGGGUAAAGGCCCACCAAGGCGACGAUCCGUAGCUGGUCUGAGAGGAUGAUCAGCCACACUGGAACUGAGACACGGUCCAGACUCCUACGGGAGGCAGCAGUGGGGAAUACUGGACAAUGGGCGCAAGCCUGAUCCAGCCAUACCGCGUGGGUGAAGAAGGCCUUCGGGUUGUAAAGCCCUUUUGUUGGGAAAGAAAAGCAGCAGGUUAAUACCCCGCUGUUCUGACGGUACCCAAAGAAUAAGCACCGGCUAACUUCGUG
rnacentral:rRNA from 1 species